rnacentral:rRNA from 1 species
CAACUCGCCUGCAUGAAGUCGGAAUUGCUAGUAAUCGCAGAUCAGCAUGCUGCGGUGAAUACGUUCCCGGGCCUUGUACACACCGCCCGUCACACCAUGGGAGUCGGUAACACCCAAAGUUGGUAGCCUAACCGCAAGGAGGGCGCCGCCUAAGGUGGGAUUGAUGACUGGGGUGAAGUCGUAACAAGGUACC